CCUANGGGUGGCAGCAGUGGGGAAUCUUGCGCAAUGGCCGAAAGGCUGACGCAGCGACGCCGCGUGUGGGAUGACGGCCUUCGGGUUGUAAACCACUGUCGGAAGGGACGAAUGGCCCGCAAGGGCAGUGACGGUACCUUCAAAGGAAGCACCGGCUAACUCCGUGCCAGCAGCCGCGGUAAUACGGAGGGUGCGAGCGUUGUCCGGAAUCACUGGGCGUAAAGGGCGCGUAGGCGGCCCGGUAAGUAGGAGGUGAAAUCUUGCGGCUUAACCGCAAGGCUGCCUUCUAGACUGCCAGGCUCGAGCACAGUAGAGGCAGGUGGAAUUCCCGGUGUAGCGGUGGAAUGCGUAGAGAUCGGGAAGAACAUCAGUGGCGAAGGCGGCCUGCUGGGCUGUUGCUGACGCUGAGGCGCGACAGCGUGGGGAGCAAACAGGAUUAGAUACCCUANUANUC
rnacentral:rRNA from 1 species